GGAGAGGUGCUAGAGUGGUUGAAUAGGUUAGUCUCGAAAACUAAUGUGCUCGCAAGGGUACCCAGGGUUCGAAUCCCUGUCUCUCCG
rnacentral:tRNA from 1 species